AUUGAACGCUGGCGGCAGGCCUAACACAUGCAAGUCGAACGGUAACAGGAAGCAGCUUGCUGCUUUGCUGACGAGUGGCGGACGGGUGAGUAAUGUCUGGGAAACUGCCCGAUGGAGGGGGAUAACUACUGGAAACGGUAGCUAAUACCGCAUAACGUCGCAAGACCAAAGAGGGGGACCUUAGGGCCUCUUGCCAUCGGAUGUGCCCAGAUGGGAUUAGCUAGUAGGUGGGGUAACGGCUCACCUAGGCGACGAUCCCUAGCUGGUCUGAGAGGAUGACCAGCCACACUGGAACUGAGACACGGUCCAGACUCCUACGGGAGGCAGCAGUGGGGAAUAUUGCACAAUGGGCGCAAGCCUGAUGCAGCCAUGCCGCGUGUAUGAAGAAGGCCUUGGGGUUGUAAAGUACUUUCAGCGGGGAGGAAGGGAGUAAAGUUAAUACCUUUGCUCAUUGACGUUACCCGCAGAAGAAGCACCGGCUAACUCCGUG
rnacentral:rRNA from 1 species